rnacentral:rRNA from 1 species
AGAGUUUGAUCAUGGCUCAGAACGAACGCUGGCGGCAGGCCUAACACAUGCAAGUCGAGCGCCCUCGCAAGAGGGAGCGGCGGACGGGUGAGUAACGCGUGGGAAUUUUCCUCAAGGUACGGAACAACUCAGGGAAACUUGGGCUAAUACCGUAUGAUGUCUAGCGACCAAAGAUUUAUCGCCUUGGGAUAAGCCCGCGUCAGAUUAGGUAGUUGGUGGGGUAACGGCCUACCAAGCCUGCGAUCUGUAGCUGGUCUGAGAGGACGAUCAGCCACACUGGGACUGAGACACGGCCCAGACUCCUACGGGAGGCAGCAGUGGGGAAUCUUGCGCAAUGGGCGAAAGCCUGACGCAGCCAUGCCGCGUGAAUGAUGAAGGUCUUAGGAUUGUAAAGUUCUUUCGCUCGUGACGAUGAUGACGGUAACGAGAGAAGAG